rnacentral:rRNA from 1 species
UACGAAGGGGGCUAGCGUUGCUCGGAAUCACUGGGCGUAAAGCGCACGUAGGCGGAUCGUUAAGUCGGAGGUGAAAUCCUGGAGCCCAACUCCAGAACUGCCUUCGAUACUGGCGAUCUUGGAGUCCGGGAGAGGUGAGUGGAACUCCGAGUGUAGAGGUGAAAUUCGUAGAUAUUCGGAAGAACACCAGUGGCGAAGGCGGCUCACUGGCCCGGUACUGACGCUGAGGUGCGAAAGCGUGGGGAGCAAACAGG